AGUGAACGCUGGCGGUAGGCCUAACACAUGCAAGUCGAACGGCAGCACAGUAAGAGCUUGCUCUUACGGGUGGCGAGUGGCGGACGGGUGAGGAAUACAUCGGAAUCUACUUUUUCGUGGGGGAUAACGUAGGGAAACUUACGCUAAUACCUCAUACGACCUACGGGUGAAAGCAGGGGAUCUUCGGACCUUGCGCGAUUGAAUGAGCCGAUGUCGGAUUAGCUAGUUGGCGGGGUAAAGGCCCACCAAGGCGACGAUCCGUAGCUGGUCUGAGAGGAUGAUCAGCCACACUGGAACUGAGACACGGUCCAGACUCCUACGGGAGGCAGCAGUGGGGAAUAUUGGACAAUGGGCGCAAGCCUGAUCCAGCCAUACCGCGUGGGUGAAGAAGGCCUUCGGGUUGUAAAGCCCUUUUGUUGGGAAAGAAAAGCAGCAGGUUAAUACCCCGAUGUUCUGACGGUACCCAAAGAAUAAGCACCGGCUAACUUCGUG
rnacentral:rRNA from 1 species